GGGGGAGCCGGCGGGCGGCGGCGGCGGGCCGGGCUCACUCUCGGGAUGGAGGGCGAGCGCCGGGCAUCUCGGGCGCGCUCCUCCGACCUCCCGGCCGGGGGCGACGGCGCGGAGAGCCCCGGAGGCAGCGUCCCUCUGCCGGCCGGCAGCUGCUCGCCCGCCCUGCUGCCGGCCGACGUGCUGGAUCUGGACGAGGACGAGGACGACCUGGAGGUGUUCAGUAAGGAUGCCUCACUGAUGGACAUUAAUUCCUUUAGUCCUAUGAUGCCCACAUCCCCUUUAUCAAUGAUAAACCAAAUCAAGUUUGAAGAUGAAUCAGAUUUGAAGGAUCUGUUCAUUACAGUGGAUGAACCUGAAAGCCAUGUUACUACAAUUGAAACUUUCAUUACUUACAGAAUCAUUACAAAGACAUCUCGUGGGGAAUUUGACUCUAGUGAAUUUGAAGUCAGGAGACGUUACCAAGAUUUCCUUUGGUUGAAGGGAAAACUUGAAGAAGCACACCCUACUCUGAUUAUUCCACCAUUACCAGAAAAGUUUAUAGUGAAAGGAAUGGUGGAGCGAUUUAACGAUGACUUCAUUGAGACCCGCAGGAAGGCAUUACAUACAUUUUUGAAUAGAAUUGCUGAUCAUCCAACUUUAACUUUUAAUGAAGACUUCAAGGUUUUUCUUACUGCAGAAGCUGGGGAGCUCUCAUCUCACAAGAAGCAAGGACCCGGAUUGCUGAGCAGGGUGGGGCAAACGGUCAGAGCCAUGGCGUCCUCUUUGAGAGGGGUGAAAAACCGCCCAGAGGACUUCAUGGAAAUGAAUAACUUUAUUGAAAUAUUUAGCCAGAAGAUUAAUUUAAUAGAUAAAAUAUCUCAGAGGAUUUACAAAGAAGAAAGAGAAUAUUUUGAUGAAAUGAAAGAAUAUGGCCCAAUUUAUGUUCUGUGGUCUGCUUCAGAAGAAGAUCUGGUCGAUACUCUGAAAGGUAUUGCCAGUUGCAUUGAUAAUUGCUGUAAGGCCACUGAAAAGCGGAUGUCUGGACUCUCUGAGGUCUUGCUUCCUGUGGUGCAUGAAUACGUGCUUUAUAGUGAGAUGUUAAUGGAUGUUAUGAAAAGAAGAGACCAAAUACAAGCAGAACUGGAUUCCAAAGUUGAAGCUUUGACCUAUAAAAAGGCAGAUGCCGAUCUGCUCACAGAAGAGAUUGGAAAACUUGAAGAUAAAGUGGAAUGUGCCAAUAAUGCCCUAAAAGCAGAUUGGGAAAGAUGGAAACAAAAUAUGAAAAAUGAUAUCAAGUCAGCCUUUACAGACAUGGCUGAGGAGAAUAUCCACUAUUAUGAACAGAUUCACAGACUUUAAAAGACACUGUGACUAAGAGGAGUGAGCAGUUCUGAAGAUUGAAGAGUGACGCAGUGCCUUGCUACAUGGGAAUCAUUCCUUACAUCACAGACGGACCUUCAGUUGGAUGAAGACUCUGAAGAUAAACUUUAAUCCCACUGAGGACUUCCUCUUGAAGUUUGGGAGGCAGCAUCUUUGAACCAAAGUUUUUCUUUUUGGAUCGGCUGUGCCCUUUGUAAAAUGGAUGGAAAACAUUUCAUACUAUCUGGAAAACCGGCAACAUGAAAACUCAGGUAUUCCAGGUCAUUGACAUAAAUUUGGAGAUAUAUCUAUCAGUCUAUAUAAAUCUAUUAUAUGAUGUAUAUUAAUAUAGAUAUAUAGGUCUAUUAUAUUAUACAUAUAUAUAUAUAUCUAUAUUGAUAAAGAUUUAGCUUAACUUUAAUUAUGUUCUUAAAUUUAUGUGCCAAUAAUUGCAUAGAGAUUUUUUUUCUUAAAUAUAUGAUUGUGGAACAUGACAUUUUAAAUGUUAUAAAGACUCAGUUUUAAUAAAAAAAUUUCAUAUGAAA